rnacentral:rRNA from 1 species
UGUGAUUGCACAAUGCCCGAAAGGUGAUGCAGCAACGCCGCGUGAGGGAUGAAGGCCUUCGGGUCGUAAACCUCUUUCGAUCGGGAAAAAUGGYCUGGUGAAGAGCCAGUUCUGAUGGUACUGGUGGAAGAAGCCCCGGCUAACUACGUGCCAGCAGCCGCGGUAAUACGUAGGGGCGAGCGUUGUUCGGAAUUACUGGGCGUAAAGGGCGUGUAGGCGGUGCGGUAAGUUGGGCGUGAAAUCCCCGAGCUUAACUCGGGUGGGCCGUUCAAGACUGCCGUGCUAGGGUGCGAGAGAGGGCAGUGGAAUUCCCGGUGUAGCGGUGAAAUGCGUAUAUAUCGGGAGGAACACCUGCGGCGAAGGCGKCUGCCUGGACCGUACCGACGSUGAGGCGCGAAAGCUAGGCGAGCAAACAGGAUUAGAUACCCUGGUAGUCCUAGCCUAAACGAUGAACACUGGGUGUGGCCCCUCACGGGGCUGUGCCGAAGCUAACGCAUUAAGUUUCCGCCGGGGA